AUACGGAGGGUGCAAGCGUUACUCGGAAUCACUGGGCGUAAAGCGCGCGCAGGCGGCCAUUUAAGUUGGAUGUGAAAGCCUACGGCUCAACCGUAGAACUGCAUCCAAAACUAUUUGGCUCGAGUGUGGGAGAGGAAGAUGGAAUUAGUUGUGUAGGGGUAAAAUCCGUAGAGAUAACUAGGAAUACCAAAAGCGAAGGCAAUCUUCUGGAACAUUACUGACGCUGAGGCGCGAAAGCGUGGGGAGCAAACAGGAUUAGAAACCCUAGUAGUCC
rnacentral:rRNA from 1 species